UUCAGUUACAAUUCUGACCAUUUUACUUUAACACAAUUUUUUUUUCUUUGUCAUAUUGGAAGUGGUUGAAACCGUCAUUAGUAUUUUAGAUCCAUCAAAAGCUGUUAAUAUUUUAUCAAGAAAGUUAAACAGCAGCACGAAAGUGUCCCACUGUUAGAAGAGCUUCAUCAGAUUAUAUCUAAUCAUAUGGUGGCGCUUUGUGAUAAGGCGUCAAAAUUUUAUUUCUUUGUCAUUUUUUCCAUUUGGCCUCAGCACAUUGUUGGACUCCGCUUAAUCAAAUCAGCCCUUAAUUAGUUUUUUUUUUCUUUAGCAAUCUCCCAAAUGCUUUGAGGAGUAUCAUAAUUCAGAUUUCAGCUUUGAAAACAAAUAUAUUUUACUAAUUAAUUGGAUUCUAAUUUGCUUUCUCAUUCAUCUGCUGCGAUGGAUCUGCCUUCUCGGUGUCAGACUGGUAAAUGGAGGAAACCCAGGCACGCCGAGCCGAGCCCCUCAGAAUCUCAUUAAUGCGCUCGCUUUCCUACAUUUCCUCCGUCUCCCUGGUGGUGCUAUCAGAGGAGUGAAUCUGUGCAUCUUCCCUGCAGCUCUACACGAGCUCCAUCUCCUUGCCCCACACUGUCUGGCUCAAAACAUGCAACCCACACCGAGGCGUUUCGCUCGCUGUUAGACACUUAGCUGCGGUCAGACGGAAAAUCCAUACAAAGACUGGGAAUAAAAAAAAGAAAAGAAGAAGAAGAAGAAGAAGUGAGAGAAUGCCUUUAAACGCAGUGUAGCCCAUUUGGUUUUGCAGGAUGAAAUCCACACGGACUCGCUCAGAAGGAUGAUGAUUAUUAUCUCUCCUCUCGUUUUCAGGGUCUGGUAUGACCUUCUUUGUCCGUGCAACCCGGUGUGCGGCUGCCACCGCUGCCAGGUUGAACUAGCCAGAGGGCACCGGGGGUCCGCAGAGGCCCUGUGAUGGAUGGUCGGCGCUCAUUUAUGGAGGAAAAAACUCUGCUCUGUAGAGUGUUUGGUUUUCUGCAUGGUACAGUACAUGUCUGCGAGAACUGACACAGGUAAAAGAGAGCAGGAGGUGAGGUGGGCCUUUGAUUCUGAAGCGUGCCACAACCUUGACCUUGCUUCUGGGCAAAAAGCAGGCCAAACUUUGUGUGUUUAUAUCUGGAAGAGAAAGAGAGAGAGCAAGAACUCAGCUGACAAGGUCUUAAAGGCCAGAGGAUAGUCUAACCUUGGCAGAGAACAGACUGGACACCGGCCAGCCUCAUCUUCACCUUAAUCCCCACGCCUAAUAAAUCCUUCACCAGGCCCUGCAGAGACCGCAGCAUAUUUCACAUCAUGACCCGAUUAUUUUUCUAAUAAGUUUUCACCAUUACACCCCCAAAAGAGCUCGCUGAAUAACAUCCCAGUGAAAGUUCAAGAGACGCAGCACUUCCUUCUUCUGACUGUGGGUGGCACUAUUGAGCCACUGUAGCUUGAGCAGCUGGAUCCAGUCAUCAAUAGUCAGAUGAAGGCAGGAAAGAAAAAAAAUCCCCCCCCCCCGCUGAACAACAGUGCAAUUCACUCAUAGUGGGCUCUUGAUCCCCAGCUUCCUGCCUUCACCCACCCCGGAGGCUGUGAUGGAUGUGUUUGCCCGCAUAGGUGGUUAUGAAAUGCUUAACAACGUGACAUAGCAACGCAUAACAAUAACAAUUUCACUUCACACCGUUCCUCAAAUGCCUCCGCCGUUUAGGCUCUUCGGGUAAAACAAAUUAGCAACAAACAGCUACCAAAAGAGAGAUUGCAUUAACAACAUGGAAAAUAUGAGGAUGUAAAAAUUAAAGACAGUUUACAGGACAAUAAACAUGAUAAAAAAUGAAGCAUUUAAAACCUUUUAAGUGGAUGCCUUUUAUGAAAUCUUGAUCAUUUCCUCUGCAGCUCAUACUCAGUUAGAUUUGAUGGAGAGUGUCGACAGGCUUCGUUUUUCAAGUUUGGCCACAAACUCUCAUUCGGAUUUGUGUCUGGACUUUGACUGAGCCAUUCCAACAUUUGCUUCGAGUUGUUUGUUGUGGUUCCACUGACCCUCGUUUCAAUCGAGGAAUUCCUGCGUUACGUUGUAAUGUAUUAUUCAAGCCAUUGUCAGAUCGUCUCGUCGAUUAAGAUGUUUCUGUUUCAACAGCUUGCUCUUCUCUCUUUAAUGUCUGACAAACUCCUCAAUCUAAGCUGAAGAAAAGCAUCUCCACACAUGAUGCCGCUACCUCUGUGCUUCAGCUGAGACUCUUCUCAUGG